UAGCCUACAGUGAACAAACAGCGCUUUCGUCACUACCUUGAAAGAGAAGCAACAGAAGAAGCAGCAGAAGAAGUAGGAGCAAGAGCAAGAAGAAGUUGUACGUUUCUAACUACUAGGUAGUAGUAGAAGCUCUCCUUUAUUAGUAGUGGAAUUCUGGACAAAUGGAGGACCGCAGCUAUUAUUUAGCAAAUGAGCCGAAGGCGGGUGAAUCUGCUUCGAAGAAGCGAAAGCAUGAUGAAGCCAGAUUUAUAACGGGAGCGACGCAGGCAGAAAUCACGGUUAAACAUCGGUGUGGCUUUUCCCAGAUGGAAGAAGGGUCUAAUGAGGGAAAAAUGUUUUCAAAGCGACACCGAAGUUGCCUGUUUUCUGAUGGACAGCUACGAGACAGGUCCUGCAACAUCGACUCCCUUGAAGAGAAAACCUUUGCAAGUCCCAGCUUCAGCAUCGUCUAGCAUUGGUGCUUCUAGUGUAACAGACCGAGAUGCACAUCUUGAUGUCAUUCCAGAAGCCACAGAAAUUCAGGG